GCCGCUGCUGCAUGACUCAGACUCCAGUUCCCGGCAGCCGGCCGCAACCGGGCAGCCUUCCAGCAGCGGGUCAGACCGACGCGGCUUCACUGCCGGGAAGAGGCCCUGGCAGCCUCCUGCGUCUCCAGCCCAUGGUUUGAUGGGCACACCCUGUCCUUCAGGAGGGGACACGGGCAUGGUCUCACCCCUCCUGCCCUGGUGUCUUCUCUCAGGCUGGGCAGCAGUCCUGGGCCAGAGACCCUGCCCCCGCCUCCCCGGAGACCUGCCUUGCUCUGCCCGCAGUGAGUCAAGUCCGGCGUCUGUGCAGAUGCUGACCUGAGGAGCAGGGGUCGCCUAUCAGCAACCUGGGCUGCCCUCACCCCCUCCUUCCGCCAGGGCUGAGCACCCAAUGUCGGGGACCCCUCUGCCGCCGCCUCUGAGUCUUGACUCACCCUCGGAGCACCUCCUGAGUGGGGUCAGCAGGUCGACACGGGGCAGGGGGAGCUUCAGAAGAGCCGGCUCCAGCCCUGGCAACACCCCACUCGGGCCUCGGGCCUGGGCCUGAGCUUCCCCACCCGCACACGCGGUGAGGACAACACUCCUGCCAGGCCCUGGGCUGUGAAGACAGCAAGGACAGUGGAUCAGUGGACCAGGGGCCGCUGGCCCCGGUGACAUGGAGGCAGGAGAGAGCCAGCGCCUGGUCACCUCCUGCAGGGUCACCGUGUCUGUCCAGGCUGGGCAGUCUGACUGGGCAGUGUGAUUGCUCACACACUGCAGAGCCGGCUGUUGUGCGGGCAGCCGGGCAGGAGGCAGGAGGCUCUGGUCCAGGGUUCAGAAAAUGAUCUCAUCUGGUGACUUUUUAAAUUGAUGUUUCCAGUAGCUUGGCUGAGAAGGACCAGGGGGAGGGAGGGUGAUUCGUGCAAACAGGACAGGGCCCGGAGGAGCCCGAAGACGUCCAGGGUGGGGAGAGGUGAGCCUGGCCGGCGGGUGAGGAUCCCGGGCCUGAUGGCUGCGCAGGGAGGCUGACUGCAGGAGCCCGGGGUGGGGCUGAUGGGAA